UGGGGAAUAUUGGACAAUGGGCGCAAGCCUGAUCCAGCAAUGCCGCGUGUGUGAAGAAGGCCUGCGGGUUGUAAAGCACUUUCAGCGGGGAAGAAAAGCCCUGGGCGAAUACCCUGGGGUCUUGACGUUACUCGCAGAAGAAGCACCGGCUAACUCCGUGCCAGCAGCCGCGGUAAUACGGAGGGUGCAAGCGUUAAUCGGAAUCACUGGGCGUAAAGCGCGCGUAGGCGGCUCGCUAAGUCGGAUGUGAAAGCCCCGGGCUCAACCUGGGAACUGCAUUCGAUACUGACGGGCUCGAGUCCGGUAGAGGGGGGUGGAAUUCCAGGUGUAGCGGUGAAAUGCGUAGAGAUCUGGAGGAACACCGGUGGCGAAGGCGGCCCCCUGGACCGAGACUGACGCUGAGGUGCGAAAGCGUGGGGAGCAAACA
rnacentral:rRNA from 1 species